CCUUUCAACGAUGGACCUCUUGGUUCUCGCAACGAUGAAGAACGCGGCAAAAUGCGAAAAUGUAGUAUGAAUUGCAGAAUUUAUUGAAUCAUCGACUCUUUGAACGCACAUUGCGCCGAAUUGACCCAGUUAAUUUGGCAUGCUAGGCUGAGUCUCAGUUCUCUAACACAACACGUAAUACAAAUCGUGUCAAAUGGUCGUUUUUCAUUUUGUGAAAAUCGGUCGAACGUGUCGGAAAACUCGCACGCACGCAAACUCGUUUUAACUUCGGUCGAACGUGUGUCGAAAGGGUAGUUCUAGUAACGAAACUUUCGCAUCGGGAAAGCCGGAAAGAGUGAGCUGUCUAAGCGAGGGGGGAGUUGACAACAACACACCCAUUCUCACACACUUGAGCUCAGUUCUAUGCAAGACUACCCGCUGAAUUUAAACAUAUUACUAAGCGGAGGAAAAGAAACUAACAAGGAUGGCCUUAGUAACGGCGAGUGAAGCGGUCACAGCUUAAUCGACAAUCCCGUCGCAUCUGGCGGCUGGGAAUUGUAGUCUUGGCCUUUGAACGGCGCUGGAUGAUGGGUAAUUCGAUGGAAAUCGAGGUCGUAGAGGGUGACAGCCCCGUGUGUCUGUCGUUCCGGCGCCAUAGUUCACUGGUUCACCGAGUAGCGUUCCUUGGGAAUGGAGCGUGAAGUGGGAGGUGAUAUCCUUCUAAAGCUAAAUAUUGGCGAGAGACCGAUAGCGAACAAGUACCGUGAGGGAAAGAUGAAAAGCACUUUGGAGAGAGAGUUAAACAGUAUGCGAAAUCGUUGGAAGCAAGCGAAUCAGUGGGUUUGGGCACGGCUCUGGGUUCCGGGCGCUCCGCUAGCUGUGUGCCGCUUGCGGCGCCAGCUGGCUUGCCAGCGCUCGGUCCUGGUGCGAGGUUUUGGUGCCUGGCUCCGGCCAGCCUUCUGAUCCGACCCGUCUUGAAACACGGACCAAGGAGUCUAAUAUGUGUGCGAGUGCUCGGGUGUCAAACCCCAGCGCGAAGGUAACCCGAUAACGCGUUAGACCUUUACUGGUCGCACCGCGGGUAGUGUGUUUAUUCCCUAACAAGAGCACGUAUGUUGGGACCCGAAAGAUGGUGAACUAUGCUUGUGCAGGGCGAAGUCAGGGGAAACUCUGAUGGAAGCUCGAAGCGAUACUGACGUGCAAAUCGUUCGUCUGACAUGAGUAUAGGGGCGAAAGACUAAUCGAACCAUCUAGUAGCUGGUUCCCUCCGAAGUUUCCCUCAGGAUAGCUGGAAUCCAUCAUGAGUUACAUGAGGUAAAGCGAAUGAUUAGAGUUCUUGGGAUUGAAACAAUCUCAUUCUAUUCUCAAACUUUAAAUGGGUGUGACGCGGGACUUUCUUUUUUGAAGUGCUGCAUUGAAUCUGGGUUCUUAGUGGGCCAUUUUUGGUAAGCAGAACUGGCGAUGUGGGAUGCUCCAGACGCUCGGAUAAGGUGCCAAAGUGCUCGCUCAUUCAGAUACCAUAAAGGGCGUUGAUUGAUUUAGACAGCAGGACGAUGGUCAUGGAAGUUGAAAUUCGCUAAGGAGUGUGUAACAACUCACCUGCCGAAUCAAUUAGCCCCGAAAAUGGAUGGCGCUCAAGCGAGUCACCGAAACCGGGCCAUCGGUCUUCCUGACAUAGAGACCGAUGAGUAGGAGGGCGCGGCGGUUGCGUCGAAGCUUAUGGCGUGAGCCUGGGUGAAGCAGCCGCUGGUGCAGAUCUUGGUGUUAGUAGCAAAUAUUCAUAUGAGAACUAUGAAGACCGAAGUGGAGAAAGGUUCCAUGUUAACAGCAGUUGGACAUGGGUUAGUCGGCCCUAAGGCAAGCCGUAUGGGUUUUACAUGACGGCCUUGCGCCGUUAUUGCCAAAAGGGAAUCAGGUUAAUAUUCCUGAACCACAUGUUCUGGCGCGCGGACGGCAACGUAAACGAACCCGGCGACGGCGGCCAAAAUCCCGAGAAGAGAUUUCUUCUCUUUUUAACAGAAACUUGACCCUGGAAUGAGUUUGCCUCGAGAUAGGGUUACGUUUCCUGGAAAAGCAGCGUGCUAUUCGCGCUGUUUGGUGCAUUUUGGACGCCCCUUGAAAAGCCGGGGGAGCACAUGCGAUCAGAUCGUGUCCGUACUCAUAACCGCAUCAGGUCUCCAAGGUUAAAAGCCUCUGGUCAAUAGAACAAUGUAGGUAAGGGAAGUCGGCAAAUUGGUUCCGUAAGUUCGCGAUAUGGAAUGGCUCAUUAGGUUGGGCUGUUGGGCUCUUGAAGGAAGCCUUCUCGGCCUUUGGACUGCUGACUGUCCUGCUUCACGGCGGGACGGACGGACGGUCCUUUGGCUGGGUGGGUUGAUGGCAGGAGAUUGGGCGCUCUCGGGUGCCCAUUUCCAGCAGCGGUAAACAACUAAUAGUGAACUGGAGCUGACCACAGGAACCCGACUGUUUAAUUAAAACAAAGCAUUGUGAAGGAUCCAACUGUUGUUUAUGCAAUGUGAUUUCUGCCGAGUGCUCUGAAUGUCAAAGUGAAGAGAUUCAACCAAGCGCGGGUAAACGGCGGGAGUAACUAUGACUCUCUUAAGGUAGCCAAAUGCCUCGUCGUCUAAUUAGCGACGCGCAUGAAUGGAUCAACGAGGUUCCUACUGUCCCUAUCUACUAUCUAGCGAAACCACAGCCAAGGGAACGGGCUUGGGAGUAACGGCGGGGAAAGAAGACCCUGUUGAGCUUGACUCUAAUCUGUAUUGUGAGGUGACUCAAGGGAUGUAGAAUAGCGGGGAGUUUACACGACCCUGAAAUACCCGUUCCUUUGACGUCACUUUGCUUACUC
rnacentral:rRNA from 1 species